GGGGGUGUAGCUCAGUUUGGUUAGAGCGUCGGCCUGUCACGCCGAAGGUCGCGGGUUCGAGCCCCGUCACUCCCGCCA
rnacentral:tRNA from 1 species